GAUGAACGCUGGCGGCGUGCCUAAUACAUGCAAGUCGAGCGAACGGACGAGAGGCUUGCUUUUCUGAUGUUAGCGGCGGACGGGUGAGUAACACGUGGAUAACCUACCUAUAAGACUGGGAUAACUUCGGGAAACCGGAGCUAAUACCGGAUAAUAUUUUGAACCGCAUGGUUCAAAAGUGAAAGACGGUCUUGCUGUCACUUAUAGAUGGAUCCGCGCUGCAUUAGCUAGUUGGUAAGGUAACGGCUUACCAAGGCAACGAUGCAUAGCCGACCUGAGAGGGUGAUCGGCCACACUGGAACUGAGACACGGUCCAGACUCCUACGGGAGGCAGCAGUAGGGAAUCUUCCGCAAUGGGCGAAAGCCUGACGGAGCAACGCCGCGUGAGUGAUGAAGGUCUUCGGAUCGUAAAACUCUGUUAUUAGGAAAGAACAUAUGUGUAAGUAACUGUGCACAUCUUGACGGUACCUAAUCAGAAAGCCACGGCUAACUACGUG
rnacentral:rRNA from 1 species